CUGUGAUGUAAAAAGAGCAACUCCCACUUUCCCUUCGAAUAUAUUGCCUCCAUCCCAAGACUCAGACAGUGUUUUAAUAAGGGGAAAAACUGAUCCUUCUGGAGCACAGACCAUAGAAGUAGAGGUUCAGAGGUUGCAUAUUGUCAGGCUUUGUGGCAAGCACCUGACCUGUGCACCGCCUCACUGCCUCCUGUUGCUUCAAAAAGGAAUCAUUUGCAGCUUAUUCACUGUGUAAGGAAAAACCAAAUUACAUCCAUAAUUCUAUUGAACUGGAAGCAUAGACGCUGCCAUAUAUGUCACAGUAUACAGAAAAAGAACCAUCAGUAAUGGAUCAAGACUCCAGCAAGGCUGCGUGGCCUAGAGCAGCAGGAGGAUACCAGACGAUUACAGGCAGGAGGUACGGAAGGAGACAUGCGUAUGUCAGUUUUAAGCCAUGUAUGACCAGGCAUGAACGGAGCUUGGGUCGGGCUGGCGAUGACUAUGAAGUUCUGGAACUGGAUGACGUUGCCAAGGAAAACACCGCAGGUUCCAGUUCAUUGGAUCAAGUCCAUCCUUCUUUACCCAGUGAAACUACAGUUGAAAAAAGUGAAACAGAAAUUCCUACUUGUGGUCCAGCACUGAAUCAAAGCACGGAGAGCAACCCAUCCGUUGCCACAGUGUGUCAUAGUGAGGAAGUCAGGGAGACCUUAGACAGCAGUAC
rnacentral:lncRNA from 1 species